rnacentral:RNase_MRP_RNA from 1 species
CGACGGGACCAUGGGUCACUUUUCAAAGUUAACAUACGGAGAUCCCGAUACUGCUCUUUUUCACAAAGGGCCUUGACUGAGUGACCGGCUAGAAAUAGUCUGGACGCCUGUUUUGAACGGUGACUCGAUCUACUUUGGGGAAAGUCCUCGGACGAAUGGCAGAAAUUGUCGCUGGUAGCUAGGGUCCUCUCUUUCGCUCUGUCUGUUUGAAUAUGGAUAUUUGGGGGAUAGAGUUGGGGAAAUCUAUGGUUUUCCUUUCUUGAUUUCCUCUUUGUUCUGUACACUGCUCCCCAACAAGGGGGCAGACAGCAUUGUCGGAGGUACUGGUUCGUCAUAGCACAGUUAUGUGACCACGGCUUCCCUUGCUCUUUCAGAUCUACUCGCAAGAGAUGGGUUUGUUUAGGGGUUUGGGCGCCCUAACUCAACGAGGCUUACUUGGUUCUCUC